rnacentral:lncRNA from 1 species
GCAAAUGGUUAUUUAUGUUUAAUUAUAUUAACUACACUCCUUUCCUUUACAGGGACCCCUCACCAUGACCUCCCGUAUCGCCAUGGGCCCAUAAGACAUCAGGACCUACACCCCCCACCGCCAAGAGCGAUGCUUUUAGCAGCAUCUCCAGCUCCAACACAUGCAUCUGAUGCAUCUGACAGGUCAAUGGAUCGACCUGUCACAUUUAAACAGAGAGUGAUGCUUGAAGCAGCAUCUCCAGCUCCAACAUGUGCAUCUGAUGCAUCUGACCAUUCAAUGGAUCGACCUAUCACGUUUAAACAGAGUGUGAUGCUUUUAGCAGCAUCUCCAGCUCCAGCACAUGCAUCUGAUGCAUCUGACAGGUCAAUGGAUCGACCUGUCACAUUUAAACAGAGAGCGAUGCUUGAUGCAGCAUCUCCAGCUCCAACAUGUAGAUCUGAUGCAUCUGACCAUUCAAUGGAUCGACCUAUCACAUUCAAACAGAGAGCGAUCCUUGAUGCAGCAUCUCCAGCGCCAACAUGUGCAUCUGAUGCAUCUGACCGUUCAAUGGAUCGACCUGUCACGUUUAAACAGAGAGCGAUGCUUUUAGCAGCAUCUCCAGCUCCAACACAUGCAUCUGAUGCAUCUGACCGUUCAAUGGAUCGACCUGUCACGUUUAAACAGAGAGCAAUGCUUGAUGCUGCAUCUCCAUCUCCAACAUGUACAUCUGAUGCAUCUGACCGUUCAAUGGAUCGACCUGUCACAUUCAAACAGGGAAUGAAGCCAGAGGCAGCAUCUCCAGCUCCAACAUGUGCAUCUGAUGCAUCUGACCAUUCAAUGGAUCGACCUGUGACGUUUAAAAGAAUAAAGCUAGAAGCAGCAUCUCCAGCGCCAACAUGUGCAUCUGAUGCAUCUGACCGUUCAAUGGAUCGACCUGUGACGUUUAAAAGACCAUCACCAGCUCCUACCUCCAUUUCUAUGAGGGGACAUUUGACAAAACAACCACUUUUGUUUAACAGAGGCGAAGAUACUAUUGGCGAGUUAUCAGCCUGCCUGCUGACGGAGGACCACUUCAGAUGUCCAGUGUGUUCAGAUGUGCUGAAGGAGCCGGUCUCCA